rnacentral:rRNA from 1 species
UUAGGAAUCUUCCGCAAUGGGCGAAAGCCUGACGGAGCGACACUGCUUGGAGGAUGAAGGUUUUCGGAUCGUAAACUCCUGAACGAGGGACGAAUAAUGACGGUACCUCGCUAAUAGCACCGGCUAACUCCGUGCCAGCAGCCGCGGUAAUACGGAGGGUGCGAGCGUUAUCCGGAAUCACUGGGCGUAAAGGGCGCGUAGGCGGUUUGUUAAGUCCGAUGUUAAAGACCGAGGCUCAACCUCGAUACGGCGUUGGAUACUGACAAGCUGGACGGUUGGAGAGGAAGGUAGAAUUACCAGUGUAGCGGUGGAAUGCGUAGAUACUGGUAGGAAUACCCAUUGCGAAGGCAGCCUUCUGGACAACACGUGACGCUGAGGCGCGAAAGUGUGGGGAGCAAACCGG